rnacentral:lncRNA from 1 species
AAGCCCUUCUGCCCUCUCCCCACUGGCUGCUCCAGAGCUGGCUGUGUCCCAAGUGGAACUGCAGCUCCGAGAGUGUGGGCACCCGGAAGAACAAGGACUCUUCCUGUCCAAGGACCCCACACGCUGCUCCCUGACCCAGUGCAGAGGGCAGAAACCGAGUCAAAGGAGAGCAAGCCGGGCUCCAGGCUCAGGGCAGCAGUCAGGCGAGUCCGGCCCUAACCUGCGUCCUCCAGGAAGAACUGAAGCGCGCACAGCUCCCCUUCAAAGAGAGUGCGCCCGCUGGGGCUGGGCCGCAAGACCCGCCAAGGAGCUGGGGCCUCCCCACGGAGAAGGAGGUGGUGUCUCCAUGGCAUCCCACCCACGCCAGACUGUCCCGCGGUCCCUGCUCGCGUGUAUACGGCCUCGCCGUCCAAGGGGCUCCAUGCUUCACUCAGAAACUGUAGUCUUGCUGUCUGGGGCACCCCUCCCCCGGGCCAGGGCUGCUGAACAGACCCCACACGAUCUCCCCAGAAGCCUGGUCCCUGUCCCCGGCAAGCUUCCCCUCCCCACCCUGCACGGGCAGCCCAUUCCCUAGCCUGAGCAUGGAGACCUGGAGGGAGCCUGGUCACCUUGUCAGGACCGGCACUCCGUGUCUGUGUGCCGAGCUCCUGUGAAACACGCUGGAGCAGGAGUAGACUGCGUGAGUCCCUUUCACUUGAGCAGCCUGCUCCCCUUUUUUGGGCCAUGUUACAUUUGGAAUGUGACCCCGAAAGUUAAUCCCCAAAGUCGUAUGUUAAUGGUACUUUGGAGGUGGGAGCUUUGGCAGGUGCCUGGGAUUAGAUGAGCUCAGGAGGGGGUUCAUGGCUUUCUGAC